CAUCGCAGUUGUCCUAAGUCAGCAGUGCAGCUUGAUAAUGAAGAGGCAGCGUCUUUAUUCCAGCAUUCUAAGUGCAAAACAUAGUUAAGUCUAUUCCGCGAGCCGUUCCGCGCAUUUUAACAUACGAUGUGCCUGUUUCACUCGGUAAACGUCAACCGCGCGCUUCGUAUCACUUCUUGCAGUUUUUUUUUUUCUUUUUUUUUCUUGUUAAGUCUGGUUAGGUGUAGGACUUUUGAUUCGAUGUAUCGCUGCAACUAUACUAAGCGCAUGUUGGGUUUAGAGCAGUCUAGAUGUCUAGACCAGUUUCAUAUACCUUGCGUCCACCCUGGAUGGGAUAACCACUUGCGCUUACCAUAAACGGAUCAGGGCCUGUCGUUUUGGCCAAGCCGCUUGCAGAAGUUUCCGGUGGCUUGUCUGGGUUGCUUGGUAUUAUUUUUGUGCAAUUCUCUUGUUUUUCUUCUUGUUAUUGAACGUGAAAAGUAGGCACAUUCCUGAAACCUUGUGAGCCUUUUCGAGUGUCAGGUUUCUUUCGUAUGUCUGACUGUUAUGAUCGUUUUUGGGACGCUAAGUUCCAUAAUCAUUGGUCGGUUUAAGGUAACCUUUUAAU
rnacentral:lncRNA from 1 species